CCUACGGGUGGCUGCAGUAGGGAAUAUUGGGCAAUGGGCGCAAGCCUGACCCAGCCAUGCCGCGUGCAGGAAGAAGGCCCUCUGGGUUGUAAACUGCUUUUGGGAGGGGACAAAAAGCAGAUGCGUCUGUAAUUGAGUGUACCUCCAGAAUAAGCACCGGCUAACUCCGUGCCAGCAGCCGCGGUAAUACGGAGGGUGCAAGCGUUGUCCGGAUUUAUUGGGUUUAAAGGGUGCGUAGGCGGCCCGAUAAGUCGGGGGUGAAACCCACAGGCUUAACCUGUGGAGUGCCCUCGAUACUGUCGGGCUUGGGUUAUCUCUAGGCGGGCGGAAUGGAAGGUGUAGCGGUGAAAUGCAUAGAUAUCUACCAGAACGCCGAUAGCGAAGGCAGCUCGCUGGGGAUAUACCGACGCUGAGGCACGAUAGCGUGGGGAUCAAACAGGAUUAGAUACCCCAGUAGUC
rnacentral:rRNA from 1 species